CGUCGGGUCCGGGAGUCGAACCCGCGACGGCCUCCAAACGGUUCCUGACUUCCUGUGUUCAGGUUGAGAAAAUAAAAGAUAAUCUGAAGGAUUACCUGUAAAUCUGGAGCAAGAAGCAAUCAGUCACAGAGAGUUAAGGAUCCAGACCUGAACAAUGGAGCACAGUCAGCCUGAUCAGUCUGAACGUCUUUGUUUAUUCAACAAACAGUAUGAAACACUGGUUGAGGUACAAAGAACAUUGCAACAUAUUCAGGAAGAAAAGAAACAAAGCAUGGAGCUGAUACUAAAGACUAACAGCUGCUGCGGUCAAACCAACCAAACCCUCUGAGCAACUUGUUCCCCUCCUUGCCUGUGGGGGCGCUGCAUCAAGAACCAAAACCUCUGAAGCAGACAGACAUUUCUUCUUCCUCUUUCCUCGCUGACCCGUCGGCCAUGUUUCCAGAACAAGGCAGAAGACGCAUCAAAAGUCUGACUGAAUCAUGAACCAACAGCAACAAGAGCCCGGCGGGUUUUUCCUGCUCUGAAAGUUACCAAAUCAGAGUAUUCAAUGAAAGAAAGGAUUUACAUUGUAGCGCAAGUGUUGCAUUAAAUACAGCGUGUUACUGUGGUGGAAAUGAUGCUUAUUCAGUAGUUUGGCUCCUGCUGUCAGCUCUUGGACUUGCUUUGUUUUCACACCGUUUUUCCUCUUAACUCAAACCAUUCCAGUCAGGCUGGCAGCUACCAAGGAGCAGAGCUCGUUAAUUGUGCUCUAUAUUGGAGGAAACUCACGCUACACACACAUAGAGAGAGAGCAAUAGUCCUGAAAUGUUAAGUGUUAGGGAGAAAACAGGAAGCAGGUCUUAAAGCUGGGCUCUCCUGAGCAUCCUAAAAGGCUUUUAUGGACUAUUAUUGUGUGUUUGCCUGUGUGGCUGUGAGUGUUUGUGCGCACAGAGUUCUAUAAAAUGUUCCUGCGCAUCGCAUGUUGGCAUUGCUGUUUGCACAAAACAGCAGUUAGCUGUAAAAUACGAACCACGGGGGUUGCUAUUGUGUGAGAGGUUUCUGAAGAUGAGGAAGAUGACGAAGGUUACCUGCAGUCACUCAGAACAAAUCAUUUUCUUAAUGACACCACAAGCAAACCAGUUAGCUUAACACACAUUAGCAUCCUCAAACCUUUUUCUGUCCCUCCACAUACUGCCACCUACUGGGCAGAUAGUGCAGGUCUUUCUAUUGACUCUUUAUAACUACUUCAUUGGACCAGAAAUGAGGGAUGGAAGUAUUGAACGAAGAGAUCAUGUUUCCAAGUCUAUUUUUUUCUGCCAG